rnacentral:misc_RNA from 1 species
GAAAUGCGAUAAGUAAUGUGAAUUGCAGAAUUCAGUGAAUCAUCGAAUCUUUGAACGCACAUUGCGCCCUCUGGUAUUCCGGAGGGCAUGCCUGUUCGAGCGUCAUUUCAACCCUCAAGCAUUGCUUGGUGUUGGGGCACCGCCUGUAAAAGGGCGGGCCCUGAAAUCUAGUGGCGAGCUCGCCAGGACCCCGAGCGUAAGAGGCUUGCCGCCAGGCCCGAGUCCACAAAAUAGAGCUUGGGCGCCUUCACCAGA